GUAUGCCGGAGGUUCACUAGCGACU
rnacentral:miRNA from 2 species